AUUGAACGCUGGCGGCAUGCCUUACACAUGCAAGUCGAACGGCAGCACGGACUUCGGUCUGGUGGCGAGUGGCGAACGGGUGAGUAAUAUAUCGGAACAUACCUUGUAGUGGGGGAUAACUAUCCGAAAGGAUAGCUAAUACCGCAUACGCUCUAAGGAGGAAAGUGGGGGAUCGCAAGACCUCAUGCUAUAAGAGUGGCCGAUAUCUGAUUAGCUAGUUGGUGAGGUAAAGGCUAACCAAGGCAACGAUCAGUAGCUGGUCUGAGAGGACGACCAGCCACACUGGAACUGAGACACGGUCCAGACUCCUACGGGAGGCAGCAGUGGGGAAUUUUGGACAAUGGGGGCAACCCUGAUCCAGCAAUGCCGCGUGAGUGAAGAAGGCCUUCGGGUUGUAAAGCUCUUUUGUCAGGGAAGAAACGGUUGUGGCUAAUAUCCAUGGCUAAUGACGGUACCUGAAGAAUAAGCACCGGCUAACUACGUGCCAGCCGCCGCCGUAACAC
rnacentral:rRNA from 1 species